rnacentral:rRNA from 1 species
GACGAACGCUGGCGGCGUGCCUAAUACAUGCAAGUUGAGCGAUGAAGAUUGGUGCUUGCACCAAUUUGAAGAGCAGCGAACGGGUGAGUAACGCGUGGGGAAUCUGCCUUUGAGCGGGGGACAACAUUUGGAAACGAAUGCUAAUACCGCAUAACAACUUUAAACAUAAGUUUUAAGUUUGAACGAUGCAAUUGCAUCACUCAAAGAUGAUCCCGCGUUGUAUUAGCUAGUUGGUGAGGUAAAGGCUCACCAAGGCGAUGAUACAUAGCCGACCUAAGAGGGUGAUCGACCACAUUGGGAAUGAGACACGGCCCAAACGCCUACGGGAGGCAGCAGAAGGGAAUCUUCGUCAAUGGACGAAAGUCUGACCGGGCAACGCCGCGUGGGUGAAGAAGGUUUUCGGAUCGUAAAACUCUGUUGGUAGAGAAGAACGUUGGUGAGAGUGGAAAGCUCAUCAAGUGACGGUAACUACCCAGAAAGGUACGGCUAACUACGUG